ACGCAGGAGAUGCGUGUGCACGCACGUAUAAUACGCGCGCGCACGCUAUGCAGGACAAGGGAUUCGUGGAGCGUGGAACUCAGUGGAGCUGCCGCGUGAAUUGAAAAUCAUCGAGACUGGAGACAUCGGUGUGGAGAACCACACGAAAAUACGGUUCUCGCGUAAACAUCGUCGAUUCGUGACAAUGGAAACGCGACGAAUGACGUUAGCUCUCAGUUUUCUGGAGCUCGACGGAAAGAACUGCGGAUUGCGAAACGCGAGAACGAUCGUCGUAAUGAAUAGAGUUAAAUAAAAAAAAAAUCGGAACUUA